AUGUACAGUGGUGUGAUAAUUUCUGCGGUACAACAAAGUGACUCAGUUAUACGUGUCCACGCAUCCAUUCUUUUUCAGGUUCUUCUCCCAUGUAGACGCUCACAGAAUAUCGGGUGGAGUUCUCCGUGCUGCGCCAAGGUUAAUGGAAUGACUGGCCAGCAGGGAUCAGAGAAGGCCAUCCAAAGCAGAGCUCCGGAGAUAAACAAGGAAUACUUUAGUGGGCUUCUUUAGUGCGGUAUUUCAUGUGUCGCAAUAGCCAAGACAUGGAAACAACCUAAAUGUCCAUUGAGACAUGACUGGAUUAAGACGAUGUGGUAUAUAUACAAAAUGGAAUACUACUCAGCCAUAAAAAAGAACAAAAGAUUGCCAUUUGCAGCAACAUGGAUGGAACUAGAGACUCUCAUACCAAGUGAAGUAAGUCAGAAAGACAACGACAAAUACCAUAUGAUAUCACUUAUAUCUGGAAUCUAAUGUAUGGCACAAAUGAACCUUUCCACAGAAAGGAAACUCUUGGACUUGGAGAGCACACUUGUGGUUGCCAAGGGGGAGGGAGUGGGAGUGGGAUGGACUGGGAAUUUGGGGUUAAUGGAUGCAUACUAUUGCCUUUGGAGUGGAUAAGCAAUGAGAUCCUGCUGUAUAGCACU
rnacentral:lncRNA from 1 species